rnacentral:rRNA from 1 species
GACGAACGCUGGCGGCGUGCUUAAUACAUGCAAGUCGAACGGAAAGGCCCUGCUCUUGCUGGGUGCUCAAGUGGCGAAAGCGUGAGUAACACGCGUGUAUACUCCCCUUGGCUUUGGGAUAACUCCAGGGAACUGGGGCUAAUACAGCAUAUGAGCUCCGGCGGCAUGGGGGGGGUUGGAAAGUUGCGGUGGUUGGGGAUGGACGUGCGGCCUUUCAGCGUGUUGGUGGGGUAGUGGCUUACCAAGGCUUGGACGGGUAGCCGGACUGAGAGGGUGACCGGCCACAUUGGGACUGAGAAAGGGCCCAUACUGCUACGGGAGGCAGGAGUGGGGAAUAUUGCGCAAUGGGCGGAAGCCGUAUGCAGCAACUCCGCGUGCGGGAUGACGGCUGUCGGGUUGUAACCCGCUUGCGACUGUGACGAAGCGUGAGUGACGGUAAUGGGUAAAGAAGCACCAGCUAACUACGUG